AUCCAAUGGGGUUCAGUUGAGUAGGAUCCAAUGGAAGCCAGUUGAAUAGGAUCCAAAAGGGGCCAGUUGAAUGGGAUCCAUUAGGAGCCAGUUGAAUAGGAUGCAAUGGGGUUCAGUUGAGUAGGAUCCAAUGGAAGCCAGUUGAAUAGGAUCCAAAAGGGGCCAGUUGAAUGGGAUCCAAUAUUAUACCGUUGAAUAGGAUCCAAUGGAUACCAGAUGAAUAGGAUCCAAUUUUGGCCAGUUGAAUAGGUUACAAUGGGGUUCAGUUGAAUGGGAUCCAAUGGGGUACAGUUGAAUGGGAUCCAAAAGGAGAUAGUUGAAUAGAUCCAAUAGUGCCCAGUUGAAUAGGAUAGAAUUGGGACCAGUUUAUUAGAAUCCAAAAGUGGUCAGUUGAAUAAGAUCCAAUACUGGCGAGUUGAAUAGGAUCCAAUAGAGGACAGUUGAAUAGGAUCCAAUAGGGGCAAGUUACAUAGGAUCCAUUAGGGGACAGUUGAAUAGGAUCCAAUAGGGGAAAGUUAAAUAGGAUCCGUUAGGGUUCAGUUGAAUAAGAUCCAAUACUGGCGAGUUGAAUAGGAUCCAAUAGGGGCCAGUUUAAUAGGAUCCAAUCGGGGCCAGUUAAAUAGGAUCCUAAACUGUCCAGUUAAAUAUGAUCCAAUAGGGGCCAUUUGAAUAGGAUCCAAUAGGAGACAGUUGACUAUGAUCCAAUAGUGGCCAGUUGAAUAUGAUCUAUUUGGGACCAGUUGAAUAGAAUCCAAAAUUGGUCAGUUGAAUAGGAUCCAAUACGGGCGAGUUGAAUAUGAUCCAAUAGUGGCCAGUUGAAUAGGCCAGUUGAAUCCAACUGGGUUCAGUUAAAUAGUAUCCAAUUGGAGCCAGUUGAAUAGGAUACAAUAGUGGGCCAACUGAAUAGGAUCCAAUAGUGUGUGAUCUAAAUAGGAUUAUAGUGGGCCUGUUGAAUAGGAUCCAAUGGAGGCCAGUUGAUCAUGAUCCAAACGUGACCAGGUGAAUAGGAUCCAAUGGGGUUCAGUUGAAAAGGAUAAAAUGGGUGCAAAUUGAAUGGGAUCCAAUUGGGGCCAAUUGAAUAGGAUUCAAUGGGGCCAGUUGAAUAGGAUUCAAAUGGGCCAGUUGAAUAGAAUCCAAAGGGGUUCAGUUGAAUAGGAUCCAAUAGGAGACAGUUUAAUGGGAAUCAAUAGCCAACAGUUGAAUGGGAUUCAAUAAGAGACAGUUGAAUAGGAUCUAAUAGGAUACAGUUGAAUAGGAUCCAGUGAGAGACAGUUGAAUAGGAUUAAAAGGGGUCAGUUGAAUUGGAUCCAACAGGGACCAGUUGAAUGGGAUCCAAUAUUAAACAGUUGAAUAGGAUCCAAUCUCGGCCAGAUGAAUAGGAUCCAAAAGGGCCUAGUUGAAUAGGUUCCAAUGGGAUUCAGUUGAAUAGGAUCUAAUGGAUGCCAGUUGAAUAGGAUCCAAUAGGAGACCGUUGAAUGGGAUCCAAUAGGAGACAGUUGAAUAGGAUCCAAAAGAAGACAGUUUAAUGGGAUCCAAUAGGAAAUAGUUGAAUAGGAUCCAGGUGGAGUCUUUGAAUAGGAUCCAAAGGGUGUUCCAGUUGAAUAGGAUCCAUAGGGGGCCAAUUGAAUGGGAUCCAAAAUGGGCCAGUUGAAUGGGAUCCAAUGGAGGCCAGAUGAAUAGGAUGCAAAAUGGGCCAGUUGAAUAGGUUGCAAUGGGGUUCAUUUGAAUAGAAUCCAAUGGGGGCCAGUUAAAUAGGAUUAAAAGGGGCCAUUUGAAAAAGAUCCCAAAGGGGCCAGUUGAAUAGGAUCCAAAAGGGCCUAGUUGAAUAGGUUCCAAUGGGUUUCAGUUGAAUGGGAUCCAAAAGGGGCCAGUUGAAUAGGAUCCAAAAGGAGACAGUUGAAUGGGAUCCAAUAGGAGACAGUUAAAUAGGAACCAAAAGGAGACAGUUGAAUUGGAUCCAAUAGGAAAUAGUUUAAUAGGAUCCAGUAGGAGUAAUUUGAAUAGGAUCCAAAGGGUGUUCCAGUUGAAUAGGAUCCAUAAGUGGCCAAUUGAAUAGGAUCCAAUAGGUGCCAGUUGAAUAGGAUUCAAAAGAAGACAGUUGAAUGGAUCCAAUAGGAUAAAGUUGAAUAGGAUCCAAUAGGAAAUAGUUGAAUAGGAUCUAGUAGGAGUCAGUUGAAUAGGAUCCAAAUGGGGUUCCAGUUGAAUAGGAUUCAUAAGUGGUCAAUUGAAUAGCAUCCAAUAGGUGCCAGUUAAAUAUGAUCCAAUAGGGGCCAUUUGAAUAGGAUCCAAAAGGGUCCAGUUAAAUAUGAUCUAAUAGGGGCCAGUUGAAUAGGAUCCAGUAGAGGCCAGAUGUAUAGGAUCCAAUGGAGGCCAGUUGAAUAGGAUCUAAUAGUGGCCAGUUGAAUAGGAUCCUCAGCCCUUGACUGUCAGACCAGAGGGUUUCUGUCCACCCCUGACUGUUAGACAACCCUCAGUCAGACCAGAGGGUUUCUGUCCACCCCUGACUAUCAGCCAACCCUCCGUCAGACCAGAAGGUUUCUGUCCACCCCUGACUGUCAGACCAGAGGGUUACUGUCCACCCCUGACUGUCAGCCAACCCUCAGUGAGACCAGAGGGUUUCUCUCCACCGUUUCAGUAUGCACAGACGUGAACUGAGUCCCAAAUGGCACCCUAUUCCUUAUAUAGUGCACUAGUUUUGAGAGGACAAAGUAGGAAAAAAACGAUAAGCACACUUGGCUACAUACAGUGAUGCCUAAAACCAGCUUAUUGUAAAUUUCCCCCAAUUCAAUCUAUACCAUACUUUCCCCAAAUAACUGUUCUUCUCUGAAGUAAUUAUAAAUUAGCCGAUGCCAAUGGGCUACAUGGGCACUGAAAAGACAAUGCAAAGAGAAAUGUACUGUAUGUCUGUUCUAUGGAUGUGUGUGGUUUGUGUAUUGGAGAGAAGACUGAGGGAUGGUGAAUAUGUAUAGGAGGGUGGGACAGAAUGGGUCUCUGGAUGCAUAGGGUAAAGGACAAGGACAGCAACCCCCCGAGCCACUGCCUGUUCACCCUGCUAUCAUCCAGAAGGUGAGGUCAGUACAGGUGGAUCAAAGCUGGGAUGGAGAGACUGAAAAACAGCUUCUAUUUCAUGGCCAUCAGACUGUUAAAUAGACAUCACUAACAUAGAGAGGCUGCUGCCUACAAUUGAAGUCAGAGUUUACAUACACCUUAGCCAAACACAUUUAAACUCAGUUUUUCACAAUUCCUGACAUUUAAUCCUAGUAAAGAUUCCCUGUCUUAGAUCAGUUACGAUCACCACUUUAUUUUAAGAAUGUGAAAUGUCAGAAUAAUAGUAGAGAGAAUGAUUUAUUUAAGCUUUUAUUUCUUUCAUUGUGUCCCCAGUGGGUCAGAAGUUUACAUACACUCAAUUAGUAUUUGGUAGCAUUGCCUUUAAAUUGUUUAACUUGGGUCAAAUGUUUCGAGUAGCCUUCCACAAGAUUCCCACAAUAAGUUGGGUGAAUUUUGGCCCAAAUUACACAAAUGAUAAGACACGAUUCAGUACUUCCUAGUUCCACGUAUCAAACAGUUAUUGCAGUUAUAUUAAAACCAGGAACAUCUGGAGUCCCACUGAAGUCGGUUACGACACCAAACUGCAGUCAGAUCAAGGCCCUGAUGAGGAUGACGAGCAUGCAGAUGAGCUUCCCUGAGACAGUUUCUAACAGUUUGUGUCUAAAUUCUUUAGAAACCCACAGUUUCAUCUGCUGUCCGGGUGACUGGUCUGUGGUCUGCGGUUGUGAGGCCGGUUGGACGUACUGAAAAAUUCUCUAAAACGACAUUGGAGGCGGUUUAUGGUAGAGAAAAUAACAAUCAAUUAAAUUAUCUGGCAACAGCUCUGGUGGACAUUCCUACAGUCAGCAUGCCAAUUGCUCACUCCUUGAGACAUCUGUGGCACUUGAGACAUCUGUGGCAUUGUGCUGUGUGACAAAACGGCACAUUUUAGAGUGGCCUUUUAUUGUCCCCAGCACAAGGUGCAUGUGUGUAAUGAUCAUGCUGUUUAAUCAGCUUCUUGAUAUGCCACACCGGUCAGGUGGAUGGAUUAUCUUGGCAAAGGAGAAAUGAUCACUAACAGGGAUGUAAACAAACUUGUGCACAACAUUUGUACAUGGAAAAUAUCUGGGCUCUUUUAUUUCAGCUCAUGAAACAUGGAACCAACACUUUACAUGUUGGGUUUAUAUUUUUGUUCGAUAUAACAAUGACUCAAUAAUCCAUGGCUUCUGGGAAUGCUAUGAAGUCAAAGAGUUAUGGACGGAGUUGGAAAGUUUGACAGGG
ensembl:lncRNA